CCCUUAGAUGUUCUGGGCUGCACGCGCGCUACACUGAAGCGUUCAACGAGUAUUCACCUUGCCCGGGAGGGUUGGGUAAUCUUUUGAAAACGCUUCGUGAUGGGGAUAGAUUAUUGCAAUUAUUAAUCUUCAACGAGGAAUUCCUAGUAAGCGCGAGUCAUCAGCUCGUGCUGAUUACGUCCCUGCCCUUUGUACACACCGCCCGUCGCUCCCACCGAUUGAGUGAUCCGGUGAAUAAUUCGGACUGCAGCACUGCUUGGUCUCCAGGCUUUGCAGCGGAAAGUUUAGUGAACCUUAUCACUUAGAGGAAGGAGAAGUCGUAACA
rnacentral:rRNA from 1 species